rnacentral:rRNA from 1 species
AAGCAUAUCAAUAAGCGGAGGAAAAGAAACCAACAGGGAUUACCUCAGUAACGGCGAGUGAAGCGGUAACAGCUCAAAUUUGAAAGCUGCCAACAGGCCGCGUUGUAAUUUGUAGAAGAUGCUUUGGGGGUAGGCCUAGUCUAAGUUCCUUGGAACAGGACGUCAUAGAGGGUGAGAAUCCCGUAUGUGAUUAGUGCCUGCUCCCGUGUAAAGCUCUUUCGACGAGUCGAGUUGUUUGGGAAUGCAGCUCAAAAUGGGUGGUAUAUUUCAUCUAAAGCUAAAUAUUGGCCAGAGACCGAUAGCGCACAAGUAGAGUGAUCGAAAGAUGAAAAGCACUUUGGAAAGAGAGUUAAACAGUACGUGAAAUUGUUGAAAGGGAAGCGCUUGCAACCAGACUUGCAGGCGGUCGAUCAUCCGAGGUUCUCCCCGGUGCACUCGAUCGUCUUCAGGCCAGCAUCGGUUUUGGUGGCGGGAUAAAGGCUCUAGGAAUGUGGCUCUUCGGAGUGUUAUAGCCUAGGGUGCAAUGCCGCCUACCGGGACCGAGGACCGCGCUUCGGCUAGGAUGCUGGCGUAAUGGUUGUAAGCGGCCCGUCUGAAAC